rnacentral:rRNA from 1 species
GUGASGGACGAAAGCUGGGGGCACGAACCGGAUUAGAUACCCGGGUAGUCCCMGCCGUAAACGAUGCUCSCUAGGUGUCAGGCAUGGMGCGACCGUGUCUGGUGCCGCAGGGAAGCCGUGAAGCGAGCCACCUGGGAAGUACGGCCGCAAGGSUGAAACUUAAAGGAAUUGGYGGGGGAGCACMACAACGGGUGGAGCCUGCGGUUUAAUUGGACUCAACGCCGGAMAACUCACCGGGGACGACAGCWAAAUGUAGGCCAGGCUGAAGACCUUGCCUGAAUCKCUGAGAGGAGGUGCAUGGCCGUCGCCAGUUCGUACUGUGAAGCAUCCUGUUAAGUCAGGCAACGAGCGAGACCCA